rnacentral:tRNA from 1 species
GGAGGGGUCGGAUAGUGGUUCAUUCCACAGACCUGGAAAGUCUGCGGCUCACAAGGCCUCGCGGGUUCGAAUCCCGCCCCCUCCG